rnacentral:lncRNA from 1 species
AAAGUCCGUGAGAGUCUAGAAGUAUCUGAAUGACUCACUUUCUAGAAAACACAAGUUUAUUUGAUGAAGAAACCUGUGUUUUGGUUUUUUACAUUUCUUCGUGUGUGGCUAUCAUUGAGCCUUGAUUAGGAAAAUUUGGAUACCAUGUGGAGGGGUAUAAAAAGCUCUUUCAAAAUUUUUGAGCUCAGAUUAAAAUGAGGAAAGUCCCAUUGUAGUGACUUUAAAUAGUGUUCAUUAUGUAGUUUUUUUUUUUUAAAAAAGAGAAUGAUUGGAUGGCGUUCUCUCUGAGUUUAUGGAAUACUAAGGAAAACCAUUCAAGAGUUUAAAUAUGCUGUCAUCAACAUCACCGCCAACAAGAAUUAUCCCACAAUUAUUUACAUGCCAAAAAUUCAUUAGGAAAAAUAUGAACAGAUUUUAUUUGGCCUAGGUGAAGCUUGUCCAGGUCUUGUGUGUGAACAUAAGGUAUUUUUUAGAAACAGGGAAUAUUUUCACUUGAGACUUCCUAUCUAGUUAUUACCAUGUGUGUGUAUGUGUGUGUGUUAUAUGUGUGGUGUCAUGUAUGUGUAUGUGCAGGUGUGAGUGCACAUGUGUUUGAAUGCCUCUGGAGGUCAGAGGUUGACCUCUGUCAUCUUGUUUUUGAGACAGGGCCUCUCAGUGAACCCAGAGCUCAUUGAUUUAGCUAGAGAGGCUGGCCAGCUUCAGCAAUCUGCUAGCUCCCUCAUCCCUCCUUCACUUCAGCAAUGAGGUUAAAUAUGUGUCUUGCUGUACCAGCCUUCCCAUGGGUGUUGAAGCUCUGAAUUCAGGUUCUCAUGCAUCCAUGGCAAGCACAUUGCCAGAUGAGCCAACUGCCCAGGUGUGUCUUAAAUGAUGCCCUUGUGUCUGUUCCUGGCACUUAGGUUGCCUGCCCUAUACAAGUGUGUGUGUGUGUGUGUGUGCUCGUGAGUGCGCGCGUGAUCACAAUAGAUGGAUGGAGAGAGAGAGAGAGAGAGAGAGAGAGAGAGAGAGAGAGAUAUUUUACGUAUUUUUGUCCACCAUAGUACUUUAAAUGUUACAGUUGACCAAUGUAUAUUGGAUGGCAGUUUUAGAUUUUAUGCUUUAAAAAAAAAACUUUCGAAGACUUUUAGAUUCUAGUCCAGUUGAAACAGCCUUUUGUCUUUUAAGCUCAUAGGACUCUAGACUGUUCUUGAUGAAUGGUGCCUCUCUUUAGAAAAUUCCUUUGGUAAAUAGGAAAAGGGCUUUCGGGAGGUUAAGCGACUGUCCCAGCUCACUAGCUGGCUAGUGAUGGUAUUCAGACCAGCAUAUAACUGAGGUGCAGUUGAAAGAAGCUACUUCUUGCUUUUUUAAAAGCUAAAUGUUGCUCCAUGGUGGUGGUAAUGGUAUAAUUUAUCAGUGUCCAAGUGUUUGUUUACACUGGUUAUGCACACAGAACAGUAAACAUUAUCGUCAAGUCUAUGUAACAUCAAUAAAGGGUUUUAUUCUGAAAAUGAUCUUUAGUGUAGAUGUUUAAAAACAAAGAAAUGUGGUGAAUAGAAUGGCAGGUUGGAGACAGCAGUGACAGGUGAUUGCAGUGACAGGUGACUGACAGCACUGACAGGUGAUCACAGUGGCAGACAGGUGACAGCAGUGACAGGUUGACAGGUGACUGACAGGUGACUGACAACAGUGAAACUGCAGUGACAGACAUGUGUCAGCAGUGACAGGUGACACCCAUGAAGCACCGACAGGAAGAAGACUUGGGAGCAGGUGGAGAAUUAGCCUUGUGCUGUGGUGCUGUGGAUGCCAACACUUUCAUAGUUCUAAUAUAAAACUGCACAUCUCUAAAAAUAAAAAAAAUCUAGGAUAUUUUGGUAACAUUCCUUUGUAAUGGUGUAAUCUUGCUUUUGGAUUCAAUAUAUUACUUUAUAUAAAGUAAUGCAAGCACGUAAUUUGGUUUUAAUAGCUUCAGUUUUAUUAGGAACAGAAUAUAAAGAUGCAAUCCCAGGGCUGGCAGCGUUGGGGAAGUAUAAUUGGACGGUGCAUCGUGAUUUAGGCUGUCGUAUAAGAUGGCUCUUCUGUUUUGGUCAUCACCUGGCUACAUCAUGCAAUUCCUGUAAUUGUGGAGUGCUUUGAACACAUUCAGCUUCAAUUAUCUGACAGGUGUUCUCGUUCAGAAUUUUGGAUUUCCGUGGCUUUGAGCUCUAGAGAUGAUUUAAGUUAUUUCCUCUUUAUUGGCCUAGAAGAUUAGGGCAGGAAAGAAGAAAAGUGCAGCGGUGUCCCGCUUCUACUUAUUUCUGGGCAGCAGGGGGCGUGCUUGCUUUGUGUCCUUAGGGCAUUAGCUGGGCCUGGCCUGUUCACUCAUCGCUUCCAUUGUGAAUUUGGUCACUGAGGUUUCAGUGGCACCCUAAAGUUGGGCUGAUCUGAAUAACUAACCACUCAGAGUUAGGAUUUACAAAUAAGAGAUCUACAAGACAUGUUCUUCAGGAGACUUGGCCUUUAAUCAGUUGGCGAUUGGGGCCAUUGCACUAACAUGCCAUAAUUUGUGACUCACCUUUGAAGUGUGAUGGAUGUUCAGGCCCUUACAGUUUGUCAUUUGACCGCAGGAGAGUCACUUUCAGGACUUUCAGGGCAUCUCUUGUGACUGUACCUGCAUGUGUGUGAGAUCGAGAGACUGGACUUCCUUUUCGUCCACUCUUCCUUUCCUUCCUGUGGCUCUCCCUUCCCAGGCAUUCAACAACACAUGCUGGUUUUUUUGGAAUUCUUCCCCUUUAAAUGGAAAUAUUUUCAAUACCACUCUCAGGCCUGGGGGCUAUGUACUUUACUGUAAAAGGAUGUGAGAUGGGUGUCUUAGCUAGUGUUUUCUUCUGAACAUGGGCACUUAUAAUUGGCCUAUGGUGUUUUGUUUGGCUUGAAAUCCUUGAGUAAUAACCCUCUUUGCUGUGUUGUGAUGUUUCUGGUUUUGGUGACACCCCAAGAUGGCAUUCCUGAUCUCAGAAUGGUGCCGUUCAUUGUCCAUUUAAUGAUCAGUUUCCAAAACAUGUUCUCUUUUACUUCCUACAAAAAUCAUUUUGUGGUCACCCCAUGAUCGAACAAGCCUUUAUCGUUGUAUUGAAAAGACCUGGCAUUAGUUUCCUUUGAUUGCAGGACAUAAGAGAAAAAUGGUCCACAUUGAGAAAUAAAUACACCGACCAAACAAAAGAGCUUGCUUCUAUCUGUGGUGACAGACAUAUUUUGAUGAGUUUAGAUUCCUUUCAUUUUCCAGAGUAUAAUUAAAAUAGCAACAAUUAUAAAAGCAGCUUUUCUUGCCGAAAUUGGAAGAAUU